rnacentral:lncRNA from 1 species
AACACAUCUAAGCAAGUUUAAAUGAGGCCGGAAACAACAUAUAACAAUUCCGGUAAGUCCUCAUAUGCAAAUUUCGAAAUUGGUCCAGAUCUGAAUAAACUUUAGGUUCAAGUUAUUAAACAGCAAGUUAAGAUGCGCCAAAAUGAUCUACACGAAAUUCUAGUCAAGUUACAUAUAAAGUUCAUUUAAUUUGGAGCUACGGCCUACAAGAUAUGAGCAAAACAAGUUAAACAUGGCAUUGAUGCAAAAUGCAUUCAAACAUAAAGCAAACACACUCAAAACAUGGAUGCAACAAGGUAACAUGAAACUACAUGCAAAACUAAGCAAGUUUCAUGUAGAGCACACUCAAAACGGAGCAACGGUUCAACACAUACACAUGAAAGAAGUUUAAAGGACAAGCUGUCCAAAACAGCAACUAGGAAAAUUGCAAGCAUCAAAACAAUAUGCUACAACACCCCAACAUGAAAACAAAUGGCACGGUCGUGAUGUACAGGUAAACAAUUACAAAACAUGAACACUGAGCUAUCUCCAGAAAUCAGUAGAACAUGCUCAAAAGGACAUGGCAAGAUUGCAAAUAAUAAGUUUCACAGACUUUGCAGAAUUUCACUAGACAUGACAGAAAUAACAAUAGGUUGCAAAGUUUAGAGCUAUAAAACAACAUGCUACAAGAAAUUAUCAUGGCAACUAAAGGCAUGUAAUGCUAGUACCAAAGGCAAAAAACAAAACUCCCUUACUGAAAUUAUUCCAAAGAUCAACAGAAAACAUGGUAGCACCCAUGCAAGCAUGGCAAAUGAUAUGGCAGAUUCAGACGGUGAAAAUAACAGCACAUGGCAGGAACAACGACAAGUACGCAUGUUGGUGAGCUUGUACAACUCACUACAUAGCAUGACAUGGCAUUAAAAGGUAACGAACAGUAAGAAGACAUGUUCGUGAAGCUAAGAAUGGCAAUAGAAAGUUCAUAGGGUGCAUGGACCACUAGAAAAACACAUGCCAAAACUGAACUUAAUGUUAACAGGCUGAUGGCAACAUUAUUUUGCAAAUUUAGAGCAACAUUACAACAAGCUACUACAGGCUAUAAAUGCAAAAAAGUCAUUAAUUAAUAUAGCAUCACAUUUAUAACAAAAUAUCCUUAGUGAACAUAUCUAUAUUAUGCAUAGAUUAAUUGGUAGCAUCAAGGAAAGAUAGCAACACGAUAUAACAGUUUUAGCAUUGACAGAACAUCAACAGCAAGUAGCCCAGUUCACAAGCUCGAUGCACUCACUGCAGUGCAUAACAAAAUACAAGGCUUGCCACACUGUAAAGAUGGCAUGCAGUUGCUUCACAAACAUGUAGACAACAUGCUCAAAGGAUGCACACACAAAAUGCAACGAAAAAGACAAAUUACCAAGUUAUAACAAGUUUCAGCAGUUAACAUCAUAUAGCACUCUUGCAACAAUGAUUAGGGCCUCAAGAUGGACUUAAAAAAGCAUGGCACAAUGGAACAAAGUGUAUAGCAUCUCAUGAUCAACAUUUUAAUAUAUCGUGCACGCAAAACGGAGCUACGGGCAUGUAGUUAUGGCAGGUCAAAUAUGCACACAUAAUAAGAUUUUUCAGGGACUUGGCCGAUUUCAGUAAAAAAACAGGUUAGCGGGAUAUAGCAAAAGUGUGCACGGGCGAGGAAUAGAGGGGCUCACCAUGGGCCUGGAGGCCGAAUCUAGAGCCGGGCCAGGGCACUCGGAUGAGGCAGGACGCGGUCAACGCGGCUGGGACGAGCGGGCGUCCUCUGCUCGACAGGAAGCAGAGCCGCGGCGGCGCGGGCAAUGGCAAGGAGGGCGGGGGCCGCCGGGAACGGAGCAGAUCAGCGCGAGGCUGGAUGGAUCUGGCGAGGAGUGGCCGGAUCCCGUGGAGAACGGCGAUGGACGAGGAACUUGGGGCUGCGGCGCCAUGGCCGACGGGAGAACCUCCUGUGAAACGAGAGAUUAGAGAGAGGGCGAGAAGAAAGAAGGGGAAGGAAGGAGAAGGCGCGAGGGGUCCUGGCCUGAGAGGUCGCCGGUGGCGGCGCCGGCCUACUGCGCGGGAGCAGCGAGGCUCCGGCGAGCGGGUCGGCAGGAGGAGGCGCGCGGGGUGCGGGGAGCAAGCGCUCCUAUGCUGCUGGCGGCGGUGCGGGCUCAGCCGGGCCCAGAUGGGCUCGGCAGGCCCCGAUAUGGGCUUGGCGGGCUGGCGAUGAAGUGGGAGCUUGGGGAGGUGACGAGGAGGCCUGGGAGUGGCCAGGGGUGCCGGAUGGUGGUGGCUGGGCCAAUCGGGGCGCGCCAAGUGUCGCAGUGGAGGUGGAGGGCGCCGGAAUCGAAGGAGAAGGUGGGAGGUAGCGGCGACUGAUGAUUGGGACAGCGCGGAAAUCAAGGAGGGAGGUUAGGGGUGACAAAAAUGGCAAGGGGGGCUGCUAUUUAUAGAAAGAGGGGUUAGGGUUGGGGGUUUGAGGCUGUUUCGGAGCCUUCGAUCGCGAUCCGACGGAUCCGAUUGAGAGGGGGGUUAGGCAGGCCUAGGUGGGUUGUGGAGAGUGGGUUGGGCUGAGAGGAGAGAAGAGAAGGCAGCCCGCCAACGGUUUCCUGAGACCGAAAACGCCCGACGAUUAAACCGACUAUAGUGCGGCUGUAUGUAUAACGGUUGAGCUAUCAAACGAACUCUGAAUACGAUGAAAUUUGACAGGCAGUCUAUCUACACUAUAAUAAGACCGCACACCAAGUUUCAUCCCAUUCUGAGAACAUUUUUAUGCCACUUAUAAAAUAAUAUUUCGAAGGUGCCGCGGGCGUGUGCGAGUGUGUUUGAACUCAGGACGGACAACGGAGAGAUCUGGGGGAACCCGAACGGAUGCAAGUUUGAAAACAUGAGUAUGCAAUGCACGUGAUGACAUGGCAAAGAUGCAACACGCAAGCGAAUGACAUGGCAACGACGACGAAUAAACAGAAGACACCUGGCGCAUCAGAUCUUGGGCGUUACAACUCUCCUCAACUAACAAGAGAUCUCGUCCCGAGAUCUUAGGACCAAGACGGAAGGGAAAAGGGAUGAGGUGAAAUAAGAACAAAAGAGAGAGGAUGAACAAAGUCGAGAGCACUGGGUAGGAAAAAGGAACGACGAGUAUGACGAGAAUCAAAAGCUCAAAGAACGCGAUGGAUUCUGAAACCACUCUGGUUAGAACAAGAUAAGAAUGGAAUAAGUCUGAAAGAAUUUAGGCAGAACUCUGACUGAACAUGGAAAGAGUUGGAACUGAGAUUGACAAAAUGGAAUGAUAGUUGACGAGAGGAACAGCACAAUGCCUCCGGAAAAAUUGAAAGAUUGGAGUGAGAAGAACGGGGAAGAGGAUGACAACUUCUACCACGAAUGAAAUAGAAAGCAUCCAUAGAAGGAAGCAUUGAAUGGAGUUGUUGGAAAUUCAAUAACAAAAGAAUUGCUUGUUGUGGACUUAUGGAAAACAUCUCAAAAUUACGAGGUGACGACCGACCACAACAGGAAAUGGUUGAAAAUAGCUGAGAAUAACGAAGAAAUGCAAAACUCCACUUCAAAAGAAUACGGAAAAUUAAUUGCACCUCGCGAAGCAAGAAGAAGAAUACUUGAGCUCCUCCAACAAGAAUCUUGAUGAACACUUGGAGAAUGAAUUAACUCAUGAAGAACCGUCAUGAAGAACUCCGGUAACAGAAGGAUGACGAGAUAAAAUUGAAGGAUGAAAGGGAUAAGAUUAAAGCCUUGCGAUGAUUAAGAUGGCACUUUGCGACGAGAUCACCGAGAAAACUUGGAACUCCGGAAAUAAAGAUGAACAACAUAUAACUGAGAAAUUGAUAACGCGAAUAAACUCCGGUAGAAAAGAAUUAAACACUUGGAUGAAACAAGAACAAGAAUUAUGUUAUGCGUAUCCUCCAUCAAUUAUAUUGAUGAGAAGCAAUGGAUUUGCAUACAACUUAUUCGCGUUGGAAAGGAUUAAGGGGGGAUAUGGCUCGAAAAUUUGGGAAGGUCUUCAUGAACCACCGGUAAGAUUGGAAAGAACCUACUGAAUAGAUACGAUAAUCAAUGGAAAAGGAAUCUUGAACGAACCACCGUAAGAAUUCAAAAUUGCAUGACAAAGGAGAAUGAAUCACCGACAAGAAUUGAAACGGAUGAAGAUACUUGAGGGAAUUUAGAGACAAAAGAACAAAGAGAUCGCGAGCUGGUUGAAGAAUACUUGAACGAGGCACCGGAAGAAUAUUGGGACGAACGACAGGGCACGGAUAUAGAAUAAUUGAAGAACGAAUUUGAAAACUUAUAACAAAGAGAUAUUCCGAAAAGAUGGCCUCUGGCUGAUCGAAACGGAAAAAUAACAACUCCUGAAAUACUCCAGAUGGAUGAAAAGAAUUGCACAAUUUGAAAUAAUUUGAGAGGAUAACAUCAAGCUAGCAACAUGAAUCUCCGGGAGAACGGCCAAGAUUUAAGAGAAACUCUACUUCAGUCUUCAAAAGAUGAGAAUGACGACGAGAAACACCUUGAAGAAAUUUGUUGAAACACUCCGAAAGAAUAAAAAGAGGAAAGAUUGAACCGAAUCAUAAAAGAAUUUGGAAGCUAUCUUGGAGAAGGCAUCUGACUGAUGAAAUUCAUACUUAUGUCAAAUUUCAAAAGAACUAGAGAAUACCUUCGGGAAAAUCAGAAGAGUCAGGUAAGAUCCUGGGAAAAGACCUGUAGGUUAGGGCCCACUAAAAAGAAACACCGUUGGAAAAGGAUCGUUGGAGAGAGAGAUGAUGCACCAGAACAACUGAAAGACUUGAAUGAGGUGACAACCUCGAAUUAAUUGGAUGCAAACACGAAUCUUCUGAGAUGUCUUCAACACUCCGGGAUAAUAGAAUGGCGAGAGGAGGAACGAGCAAGGGGAAAACACUUCGGUCAAGGAAAAGAAUACGAUCAACACCGAAAACUUGAAUUGGAUCCACCGGAAAAGGAAAUGAGACGAGCAAUGAUUAACUAGGCGAGAAUUCACCGGUUGAGACAAUUGAGGAAAGACUGAAGGGGCUUCGCAUGAAUGAAAUUGAUGCUUGAAUAGAGGCUCAGACUCCAGGAAGCAAAAACGGGUGGGAGGGCGGGAAAAACAAAAGCAACUGGGACGACGAAUAAUUGAAUAGAAAAGCGCCGGUUGAAAUGAUUGAGGAUAGAAUGCAAAGGCUUCACACGAGUACGAAGGAUACUCGAUUUCGGACUCCGGUUCCAAGAAGAAGAAGGGGUGGGCGGGUGGCAAAAACAAGGAAAACAUCGGACAGGGAAAUAACAUCGAUUGAAAAAGAGCUGUGGAUUGAUCUUGCAAAGCACAAAGAGGGUCGAAUCGACUUGGCGAGAAAUGCACCGGAUGAAAAGAGCAGACAUCGCAACGAACGAAAACUAAUCGCGUGAUCCUAAAGAAAAAUUUGAAGGGCAAGAGAAGUAAGUCGAAACACCUACGUCAAGAUUCCUCACCAGAGCGACGAAGGGGGCUGAGGAGUAAAAAGAAUUCCUACUCUCUAAUAUAACUAGACUCCGAAAAAGUUAUUCUUCUAGACUCGACAUCUGACAAACUGUAAGAUCAAUCAAGGGGGCUCCUAUGGUCGGUCAAGGCUCUGAUACCAACUUGUCACGCCCAAGAUGCGGCCCUAUCCUAAAGGAACUCGAAGGUCCCACCAAGGAUAGAAGCACAUCUUGAAGACGCUUUUGCAAGGUGGAUAUUACAUCAACAUUACAUAAUAUAUGGGGAUACAUACAAGGCAUACAAAUGCCGCAAGAAUACAUCAAUACAUCAUACACAAGAUCAACAUACGACUACAGAUGAGACACAAACAAGGACUCAAACGACAUCCACCCUGCUAGCCCAGGCCGUCGACUAGGAACCUAACCCAAGAUCGACGAAGAAGAAGAACUCCAACACAAAUAAACAUCGCUCUCGCGACAUGAGCAUCGCAUAACCUGUACCUGCAACUGUUGUUGUAGUAAUCUGUGAGCCACGAGGACUCAGCAAUCCCAUUAGAAUGGGUAUCAAGACUAGCAAAGCUUAAUGGGUAAGGAAGGGGUAAACUGGUGAGGUUGCAGCAGCGACUAAGCAUGUAUGGUGGCUAACUUACGAAUACAAGAGCGAGAAGAGGAGCUAAACAAGCGGACCUCAACUAAUAAUGAUCAAGAAGUGAUCCUGAACUCCUACUUACGUCAAACAUAACCCAAAAAUAGUGUUCUCCUCUCGAACAACCCCGAAAAGAGACAAUCACGGUUACGCACGCGGUUGGUGUAUUUUAGAAGAGUUUACUUCAAGUUUACUACAACCGAAUAUUAACAAAUUCCCAUCUGCCACAUAACCGCGGGCACGGCUUUCGAAAGUUCAAACCCUGCAGGGGUGUCCCAACUUAGCCCAUUAUAAGCUCUCACGAUCAACGAAGGAUAUUCCUUCUCCCGGGAAGACCCGAUCAGUCCCGGAAUCCCGAUUACAAGACAUUUUGACAAUGGUAAAACAAUACUAGCAAGACCUCCCGGCGUGCCGACACCCUGAUAGUAGCCGCGCGUAUCUCGUCUCAGGCCACGACCGGAUGAGCAGUACGUACAACUAAAACCAGCCCUCAAGUUUCCCCAAGGUGGCGCUGCAAGUGGCUCUAGUUCGGACCAACACUAAGAGAAGCUUUGGCCCGGGGGGGCUAAAAUAAAGAUGACCCUUGGGUUAAUUACUCCCAAGGGAAAGGUAUAGGUGGUAGGUAGGCAAAUGGUAAAACCAAUGUUGGGCCUUACUGGAGGAGUUUUAUUCAAGGUGACCUGUCAAGGGGUUCCCAUAACACCCAACCGCGUUAGGGACGCAAAAUCCGGGAACAUAAUACCGAUAUGACGGAAACUAGGGCGGCAAGAGUGGAACAAAACACCAGGAAUAAGGCCGAGCCUUCCACCCUUUACCAAGUAUAUAGAUGCAUUAAUAAUAUAAGAGAUAUUGUGAUAUCCCAACAUAAACAUAAUCCAACAUGGAGCAAUCUUCAUCUUCACCUGCAACUAGCAACGCUAUAAGAGGGGCUGAGCAAAAGUGGUAACAUAGCCAAACAAUGGUUUGCUAGGAAGGGUGACAAAGGUUAGAGGUUCAUGGCAAUUUGGGAGGCUUGAUAAGCAAGUGGUAGGUAACGUGGCACAGUGAUAGCAUCGAGGCAACUAGCAUAGCAAUGAUAGUAAUGAGAUCCAAGGUGACGGUCAUCUUGCCUGAAAUCCAGCUAGGAAGAAGAACGAGUCCAUGAAGAAGAUGAACCCACGAAGACGAACCAAGCGUAUACGAACAAAUCCUGACGAUCGCAACGAAACGGGAACUAUCGACAAGAAGCACACAACAUGGUAAACACACCACACAUGAACAAGGCAUGAUGCUCAACCAAGUAUGAUGCAUGACAAGGCUACAUGAAGCUACUCAUGGCAAGAGAUGAUGCAUACAAGAGCAACACAUCAAAGGAAGUUUAAAUAAGGCCGGAAACAACAUAUAACAAUUUCGGAAAGUCCUCAUAUGCAAAUUUCGAAAUUGGUCCAGAUCUGAAUAAACUUUAGGUUCAAGUUGUUAAACAGCAAGUUAAGAUGCGCCAAAAUGAUCUACACGAAAUUCUAGUCAAGUUACAUAUAAAGUUCAUUUAAUUUGGAGCUACGGCCUACAAGAUAUGAGCAAAACAAGUUAAACAUGGCAUUGAUGCAAAAUGCAUUCAAACAUAAAGCAAACACACUCAAAACAUGGAUGCAACAAGGUAACAUGAAACUACAUGCAAAACUAAGCAAGUUUCAUGUAGAGCACACUCAAAACGGAG